rnacentral:rRNA from 1 species
ACGCGUGUAGCAAUACCCAGUGGCGAAAGGGCGAGGAAUAGAUUCCUACCUACCCCGGAGUCCGGGAUAACCAUCGGAAACGGUGGCUAACACCUGAUAAUCUCGAAAGAGCAAAGUUUACGCUCUGGGAGCGGGGAAUCUCCUAUCAGCUAGUUGGUGAGGUAACGGCUCACCAAGGCUUAGACGGGUAGCGGGUGUGAGAGCACGACCCGCCGCAUCGGGACUGAGACACUGCCCGGACUCCUACGGGAGGCUGCAGUAACGAAUCUUCCGCAAUGCGCGAAAGCGUGACGGGGCAAUGCCGCGUGUGGGACGAGGCCCCUCGGGGUGUAAACCACUGUCAGGGUCUAGGAACACAAUGACCAUACCCAAAGGAAGCACCGGCUAACUCUGUGCCAGCAGCCGCGGUAAUACAGAGGGUGCGAGCGUUAAUCGGAAUCACUGGGCUUAAAGGGUCCGUAGGCGGGACUGCAGGCGUCGAGUGAAAUCCCACGGCUCAACCGUGGAACUGCUCGGCGAACCGCAGUUCUUGAGGCGAGUAGAGGCGAUCAGAACGAUAGGUGGAGCGGUGAAAUGCGUAGAUAUCUAUCGGAAUGCCAAAGGUGAAGACAGGUCGCUGGGCUCGUCCUGACGCUGAGGGACGAAAGCGUGGGGAGCAAACGGGAUUAGAUACCCCGGUAGUCCACGCCGUAAACAAUGCGCACUGGGUCGGGGGGGUUUGACGCCCUCCUGGCCGAAGCAAAAGUGUUAAGUGCGUCGCCUGGGGAGUACGGUCGCAAGGCUAAAACUCAAGGAAUUGACGGGGGCUCACACAGCGGUGGA